rnacentral:rRNA from 1 species
UGGGGAAUCUUGGGCAAUGGGCGAAAGCCUGACCCAGCGACGCCGCGUUGGGGAUGAAGCCCUUCGGGGCGUAAACCCAUGUUGUAGGGGACGAAGAAAGUGACGGUACCCUACGAGAAAGCCCCGGCCAACUACGUGCCAGCAGCCGCGGUAAAACGUAGGGGGCGAGCGUUGUCCGGAAUUACUGGGCGUAAAGGGCACGCAGGCGGUACGCCAAGUCGGGGGUGUAAAGUUACGGCUUAACCGUGACCUUGCAAUCGAUACUGGCGUACUGGAGUGCGGGAGAGGGAAGUGGAAUUCCCGGUGUAGCGGUGAAAUGCGUAGAUAUCGGGAGGAACGCCAGUGGCGAAGGCGGCUUCCUGGCCCGCGACUGACGCUCAUGUGCGAAAGCCAGGGGAGCGAACCG